rnacentral:rRNA from 1 species
GUUAGGAAUAUUGGACAAUGGGCGAAAGCCUGAUCCAGCCAUGCCGCGUGAACGAUGAAGGCCUUCGGGUUGUAAAGUUCUUUAGCCGAUGAUUAUAAUGACUGUAGUCGGAAAAUAAGCCCCGGCUAACUUCGUGCCAGCAGCCGCGGUAAUACGAAGGGGGCGAGCGUUAUUCGGAAUCACUGGGCGUAAAGCGUGCGUAGGCGGUUUUGUAAGUUAGGAGUGAAAGCCCAGGGCUCAACCUUGGAAUUGCUCUUAAAACUGCAAGGCUCGAAGCUCGGAGAGGAUAGCGGAAUUUCCAGUGUAGCAGUGAAAUGCGUAGAUAUUGGAAGGAACACCAGUGGCGUAAGCGGCUAUCUGGACGAGUAUUGACGCUGAGGCACGAAAGCGUGGGGAUCAAACAGGAUUAGAUACCCCUGUAGUCC